GGUGGGGAUGAGCUUACGGAGCUCUGCGAAGGCCGUGUUGACGUUGUGCUGGCGCCAGCGCUCCCUGGUGUUGGUGAACACCUUCCUGGUCAUGAUGCUGGAAGGUGUGGACGCCCCACCAGGAGAAAAACCUGCUGCUCUGCCUAUAAACUCAGCCUGAUUGGCUCACAAAAGUGGAAACGCAGGAAGUAAGCUGCUCUGACCGGAUUCAACCAGAUCGGCUGCGUCUCCGGUCCUCUUCCUCUCCUGACCGCUCCAGAACUUGGAUCCAAAAGAAGAAGAACCGCUGCUGGUCAAACUGUGAUAGCUUUGA